rnacentral:rRNA from 1 species
AUGAACGCUAGCGGCAGGCUUAACACAUGCAAGUCGAGGGGCAGCACGAGUAGCAAUAUUUGGUGGCGACCGGCGCACGGGUGAGUAACGCGUAUGCAAUCUACCUUUAACUGGGGCAUAGCUCCGAGAAAUCGGAAUUAAUACCCCAUAACAUUAAUGAGAGACAUCUCUUAUUAAUUAAAGUUCCAACGGUUAAAGAUGAGCAUGCGUGCCAUUAGCUUGUUGGUAGGGUAACGGCCUACCAAGGCUACGAUGGCUAGGGGGUCUGAGAGGAUGAUCCCCCACACUGGUACUGAGACACGGACCAGACUCCUACGGGAGGCAGCAGUGAGGAAUAUUGGUCAAUGGGCGCAAGCCUGAACCAGCCAUGCCGCGUGAAGGAUGAAUGCCCUAUGGGUUGUAAACUUCUUUUGUAUAGGAAGAAACCUUCUGACGUGUCAGAAGCUGACGGUACUGUACGAAUAAGCAUCGGCUAACUCCGU